UUUUCUUCCACCCUUAAACCCUGUGUUAUGUGAUGGAAAAAAUUCCCACAUCUGGCUGGACUGGCCUAAAUGGGGGGCGCUGGGAGGGCUUGUCUCUAACAAAGAGACCUUAGGAAAAAGACUGUUGUUCCUGCCAAGGGAAAUGAUCGCCUCCCUCCUGACUGGGGUUAAUCCAACCAGCUAAACAUCAUCUGUGUCUUCAAAUAUAGCCAUAAGAACGCCCAAGUGUUUGUCUGGGAUCUUCCAGGAGUGGCCAGUUUUCUCCAGGUCUGCUGCACCCACCAGAUCUUAUCUGGUCUUUGGGACAAGGUGUUGGCAACAGCUGCAUUUUGGAAGAUAAUGCUGAAAUCAACAUUGUUUGAGAUGGCGCUUCCUGCUUCUGAGGAAGGAAAGAUAAAUAACAGAUGGCUAAAACAGAGGCUAAUUAAGCUACAACAGCACUUCUAAAGCUUUUGGGUUCAGGACCCCUUUUCACUCUUAAAAGACAAAUUGCUUUUGUUUUACAUGAGAUAUUUGAUAUUUGCUUUGCUAUAUUAGAAGUUAUA